rnacentral:rRNA from 1 species
GACGAACGCUGGCGGCGUGCUUAACACAUGCAAGUCGAACGGUAAGGCCCUUCGGGGUACACGAGUGGCGGACGGGUGAGUAACACGUGGGUGAUCUGCCCUGCACUUCGGGAUAAGCCUGGGAAACUGGGUCUAAUACCGGAUAGGACUCCUGCCUGCAUGGGUGGGGGUGGAAAGCUUUUGCGGUGUGGGAUGGGCCCGCGGCCUAUCAGCUUGUUGGGGGGGUGAUGGCCUACCAAGGCGACGACGGGUAGCCGGCCUGCGAGGGUGACCGGCCACACUGGGACUGGGAUACGGCCCAGACUCCUACGGGAGGCAGCAGUGGGGAAUAUUGCACAAUGGGCGCAAGCCUGAUGCAGCGACGCCGCGUGAGGGAUGACGGCCUUCGGGUUGUAAACCUCUUUCAGCACAGACGAAGCGCAAGUGACGGCAUGUGCAGAAGAAGGACCGGCCAACUACGUGCCAGCCGCCGCAGUAA